GAUGAACGCUGGCGGCGUGCCUAAUACAUGCAAGUCGAGCGAACAGAUGAGGAGCUUGCUCCUCUGACGUUAGCGGCGGACGGGUGAGUAACACGUGGAUAACCUACCUAUAAGACUGGGAUAACUUCGGGAAACCGGAGCCAAUACCGGAUAUUAUAUUGAACCGCAUGGUUCAAUAGUGAAAAACGGUUUUGCUGUCACUUAUAGAUGGAUCCGCGCCGCAUUAGCUAGUUGGUAAGGUAACGGCUUACCAAGGCAACGAUGCGUAGCCGACCUGAGAGGGUGAUCGGCCACACUGGAACUGAGACACGGUCCAGACUCCUACGGGAGGCAGCAGUAGGGAAUCUUCCGCAAUGGGCGAAAGCCUGACGGAGCAACGCCGCGUGAGUGAUGAAGGUCUUCGGAUCGUAAAACUCUGUUAUUAGGGAAGAACAAAUGUGUAAGUAACUAUGCACGUCUUGACGGUACCUAAUCAGAAAGCCACGGCUAACUACGUG
rnacentral:rRNA from 1 species